UAUCUUCUUGCUGCUUACCACAGGUGCUAACGAUCAGUUCCUACACGGACCACGUAGAAAGAGGAGACAAAGUAAAACCACCCCCUAUGCGCCUCAGCCAGGCUCUGGGCCUGGUGAGUAUUGUGAAUGGGGAGACAGGU
ensembl:snoRNA